rnacentral:rRNA from 1 species
UACGUAGGGUGCAAGCGUUAUCCGGAAUCACUGGGCGUAAAGCGUGCGUAGGUGGCGUGUUAAGUGAGAUGUUAAAUCGUGUGGCUCAACCAUAUCGAUGCAUCUCAUACUGGCAUGCUAGAGGACGGCAGAGGCAAGUGGAAUUGGUAGUGUAGCAGUGAAAUGCGUAGAUAUUACCAGGAACACCAAUGGCGAAGCAGCUUGCUGGGCCACUCCUGACACUGAGGUACGAAAGCGUGGGGAGCGAACAGG